GACCUCCUCUCCCUGGAGUCCUCCAGAUCCCCAGCCGGAAGCCCGGGUCACCCCUGACGUUGUCCUUUCCCAAGCCCCAGCCUGGCACCAGGUCUGGUGGCUACCACCUCGAGGUGGUCGUCCCCCCCUUCCUUACCCUCGACACCACCCCCUCUCACCUCCCACCAUGCCCCUCCUGGGCUUCUGCAGGAGCCUGCCCCUGUCCACACUUUCUCCUCCUGCCAUUCACUUCCUGCGUGCGACCUGACCCUCGCCGUCCUGCUCAUGGCUGGGGAGCUGAAUGAGGACAAGCCCCUGCUCCAAGCCGAGAGGCCCUUGUGGGUCUGGCCAGCACCCCAGGCUCACAGCACCCAGGCUCACAGCACCCUAGGCUCAUGCCCCACCCCGCCCUCCAGCUCUCAGAGCCCGGGUGCCACAUCUGCUUGGAGUUCUGGGGGUGAGGCCGUGUAGACUUGUCCCACGCUGAUGGCUGCAGGCUCAGGGGCUUGGAUUACCCAGGUCCCACCUGAGGUGCCCAGGGGUUCCUCUCAGGAGUUCCCAUUGUCACAUGUGCUUGUAAGAUCCACAAAUGCAGGCGAUAUGAACCACAACCCGUCCAGAUCAUUGGGGACGCUGGAGCAGCCACGGCCACCUAGCCUUAUGCUAGGUCUUUAUUAAGAGAAGAGGUUUCUCUAGCUCACAGUUCUAAGGACUCAAGAGCAUGGUGCUGACUGUGCUCCUCCUCCCCAGAGGACGGUGUCACAAAGCAGAGGGGAGGUUCCAUGUGUCCUCAACAGGACAUAUGAGGGCAGGUCAGUCCUUGGGCCUAAGGAAGGAGCACUCCUACCAGGCAGCCAGGACUAGGCCGGGUCAGGACAUGAAGUGGGGCCAGGGCCAGGGCCCAGAGCAGGUGCACCCUAAGGUGCUGACCUGGAGGCUUGACACACUGAGCAGGAAGCCAGUAGCCUGCUGGGGACAUCUCUGAGUGCAGAAUUUGGUUCUCACUGAGGGUCCUCAAAACAGAAGUUCAACAUCCUUGAGGGGACAUUGCGUAAAACUGUGUGUGUGUGCGCGUGCGUGCCCACAUGUUCUGUAUGUGUGUGUGUGUGCAUGUACUCCUUUCCCAAGGACAAUCAUGUGAAAAGGAGUUGAUCCGAGUUCCUGUGUUUGGACAUGCCUUAGUUUCCUACUGCUGCUGAACUAAAUCUCAUUAAUAUAGUGGCUUAAACAACACACAUUUAUUAACUUGCAGCCCUGAGGUCAGAAGUCCAAAAUGGAUCUCUCUGGGCUAACAUCAGGGUGACAGCAGGCUGUGCUCCCUUCUGGAGGCUUUGAGGGGAGAAUUCUUCUUUCUGCCUCCUCUAGCCUCUAGAGACCACUGCCUCUGUGUGAGGGAUGAGUCCCUGUGCUGCAGUCUGUCUGGCUCCCCGUCUUCUUUUCCUUCCCUAUGAUUUCGUUGCCAUUCCCCUCCCCAUCUUUAUCCGUUGAUUGGCAGCCUUCAUUCCCAUUUGCCGUUACCUAAGGUAUUCAUGAGUCUGGAGAUUAGUGUGCACACGUCUUCAGGGCUGUGUUUUGUGGACCACAUAGGGCACACACCAUAGACCACCAGUGUGUCUGUGUGUGAGGACAUGCGUUCCUGUGUCUCAUAAGGCAGAAUACAUUUACACAUGUAUGUGGACAUACAUGUAUGGGUGUGCAAAUGCACGUGUGUGUUUAUUUCACUCGGUGGUUCUGCAGAAAUCAUCUCUUUUCUUUCUAGAAAACCGAAUUACAAGAUCUUGAGGCAUAAAGAAAGGAGUCCAAGAGUGCGCAGCCCAAUCCAGACAGGCCAGAAGGAAUUAUUACAGAAGCGUGUUAGGCAGGUAAUCAAAAUAUCUUCGCCCUGUGUUUUGUGAUAUUCGUCAACUUCUUAAAAUGUGUGAUUUCUAACACUUUUUCAUUCUUCAGAAACACCAACUUUCAUGCCUGACUUUGCAUGGUUGAAAAGCCCCGCCCACCAGGCCAUGGCCACGCCCACACCGCACCACCAGGCCCCGCCCAUGCCCAAGCCCCGCCCACAGGGUCCCUGGACUCCAGGUCCCGCUAACCUGGGAUCCGUCAGCUCAGCUCCUGCCCAGGCCCAGCGCUCUGCGCCUGCCCAUAUGUGGUAACGCCUUCCCUGCUGUUGGCCCAAGAGGCCUCCUGGGCCAUUUAGCGGCCCUCUGCUGGGUCAUCCAUCGCUGGUGAAAUGGCCUGUUUCGCUCCCGGCCCGCGGUGGAAGUUCAGCCCCGUGACCUCGCCUGUCUUGCUAACUCGAUGCUCCUGUUGGUGAUUAACACAGAGUCUGGCACACAGUUGGCGCUCAGUAAAUCACACAGAGAAGGCAAGCGGAGGGGGCUGGACGGUGUUGGGGGGGGGGAGAGUGCUUCUGAAUAAGACACCUGUCCCAGGUGGCCUUGCCGACAGGACCUGGAGCUGGACUCAAACCCAGAACUUUCUCUUGGCCAAUAUCCCUCCCCCCCGCCCCCCCCACCAUGCGUUUGAGGCCAGCGGCCAUCGAAUGGGCGCCAGGUAGUGGGUGGCAGGGUAUGUGUCAGCACAUUCUGAGACACGAGGUUGGUGAAGAGCUAGGCUGGCUCGGGGGGUGAUAGCGAGCCACCUCUGACGUGGCCUGCCCUCGUGGAGGGUGGAGGACUCUUGGCUGCCACUUGCCCCGGUGAAGUGUCUGAGGGAUAGGGGGUUCCCGACCUGGGCCCGUGGGCUUGGGCCAUUGGCAAACCUGCAGCCCGUCUGAUUCUCCCGGGGUCUUCCCACAGCCUCCCAGAGCCGCCUGUCGGCAGCUGCUGUGGGCCAGCUGGUUCCAGAGGGAGGCCCACGGAGCACUCUCUGAAUUUAUGACUUUAAUUUAUGACAACUCUAAUCCCAUUAUGGGUUCCCUUUUGUUUGCAGCCUGCACCAUGGUGAGUUUAAUUAUGGCCGUUUGAGAUUCCUCCCACCCAGAGGACCUUGCCUGCUCGUCCUGGGGGCCCCUCCGCAGUUGCUGGAAGGAUUUACUGGCCCUGGAGGGGCGCGUUGGAGGGGAAAGGACAGCUCUGGCCCCUGAGGCAGCUGCGCUGUGUGACAGGCAGAGUGAGGCCUAUGAGUGACAGUGAGGGCUGCAGCAUCUGGCUGUGUUGGGCGAGCAGUGUGCAGCCUGCACAGCUGUUGAGAUGGCCCUGGGGUGUCCUGGGACGGCAGGGCCCUGAGCCAGGAGGAGGGAAGGGAACUCAGGGAAACCAGGGCACUGGCUGUCACAGGCUCUGAGAAAGCGUUUCUCUUGGGGUGGGUCCGGCUCGACCACCCACCUUAGAAAAGCAGAUGUGUCCCAGGUGGUGACACCCAGAGGCACGCCAAGCAGGGGAUGGUCAGAGGGUGCUGCAGCGUCCCUUCUUGCUUCCAGGGUUGAGGGGCAAUGCAGAGACAAGGGCAGUGGAGAGACCCCUGGUCACAGAGUCCCCGGGGAACCUUGGGUCAUGCUUAGUCCCUGGACCGCUCCUUCUCAGCGGGGGAGUUAGGGCGGAACCCGGCCCUGUCUAGGCGGGAAGGAGAACACAGCCAGGGCGUGACGGGGGGAGGAGAACCCAGGCCAGGGGGGAUGGAGGAGGCCCAGGACCUGGAGCUGGCCUCAAACCAGAACUUGUCUUGGUUCUCAGGGAGAUCUUAGAAGUGAGGGCAGCCUCAAGCUUGGAAAGAGAGACCCAGUGUCUAGCCUCGGUUUCUUCAUCUGUCAAAUGGGCACCAGAGGCCACUAGCCCAACUUCUCCCGCAGCUGGGAAUGGGAACAGAGGCCAUGCUGGCAGCCAGGGAUCCAUGACUGUGAAGGGUGGGGCCACAGGGAGCAGCUUUCCUAGCUCCGGGCCUCAGUCUCCUCAUCCGUGAUUGACAGGUUAGAACCAGACGGCCUCCAAGGGUCUUCGCAGCUCAGACAUUUACAGAGUUGAUGAAGCAGGAAGGCUUCCUGGAUCUGAAGGAAGUGGGAAGGCAGAGCAUCUUGCAGAUCUGCAGACCCCAAAUCCUGCUUCCUUAAGAACAGACAAGAGUGGGGAGGGGCAAGGGAGGAGGCGGCCAGAGAACAUGGUGAAAAUGAGUGAGGCAGAGGGGUGAGCAGUAGGGAGUGGUGGGGACUAUGGCAAAGUGGAACCCCUGAAGGAGCAGCCACUUCUUUGCUACAAGGAUCACUGCCGUGUGAGGGUGCUGAUCCUGGUCAGACGGGCUUAGCCUUUGCAAAAGUGUGCAUCUGUCAGUACCAGAAAUCGAGCUAGUCUCACUGAUUGGGAGUGAGGACCAAAAAAAAGGAUAGGCAAAGUGCUCCGGCUGGUGUGUCACGACUGCUGUGACUCUUGCUAUUGUCCAUCUGUACAAGAGACCAGGUGUCUUCCUUCCCCGCCCUCCACACACUGUGGGGGGACGGGGGGUCUAAUCACUGGGGUGCACUUGGGGUCCUGGGGCAGUGAGCUUCCCGCCUGUCCAGGGCGGCCGAGGCCGAUGGGCAGCUUUUGAUCUGGGGAGGAGCAGCGGCCAGGCGCGGUGUGAAGGGAGCCCACAGGGAACCCGGGCCACGCUGCAUGGGGUGCCCCUUUACCUGGGGGGCUGUUCUGAGCCACAGACACACAGUCUGGAGGAGGGAUUUGUCAGGCUUCGCUGGGCUGAGACCGGGGGGCUGGGGACAGGGGUCACACGUGAGGCGGGCGAUGGCAGUAGGAGAAGGAGCCCAGUGGAGGCCUGACAGCUUCCCCGCGGUGUCCAAGGACGCGGAGGGGGAUCGGGAGCAGGAGUGGCAGGGAAGUGGCCGCCAGCCAGCUCGGUGCCCAGGGCUGGUGGACAGAGGCACAUCGCGCGUGUGACGUGGCGUGUCCACGUGGGGCCAGUCCACCUGCUGCCCCCCCCUCCGAGGCGUGUGCUUGGUGAGCCCUGGCGGGCCUGGAUCAGGCCUCUCCUGAUCGGUGAGUUCCAGUCCCGGGUCUGUGGACAGCCAGCUGUGGCCCUCGCCCUCGCUCUGUCUGGGUUUCCCACUGGGCAGCGGGGGAUCCUGCUGCCCCUCCUGCCCCGAGGCAGUCUGAGGGUGGCGUCCUUGGAGGACUGUCGUGGGGUGAGGGAGCCCGGCCUCAUCGGCUGGGCUCUUGGGGGGUUCAGGGAUCUUCAGAGGUGAUCAUGUCCAGUUCUCGCUAAGGCCACGAGGCAGGUGGACAACUGCUGCCCUUUGCUCGGAAGGGGACACUGAGUCCACAGGGCGUUUCAACAUGAGGUUGAUCCCUCUCAGGCAUGGCGAGGUCCCCAGAGCUGGCGGGUGGCAACUCCCACAGAGGCACCAUGGUGCUCAUGGAUCCCAAGAGAAGGGGCAGGCCACGCACCAGAGGCCAGCUGGGGAGGCAGAGGGGCGUCAGGAGGGGAGGAGUGGACACAGGCCUGCCGUGGAGGCAGCCGGGGAGGAGACAGCGGCCUUGGGUGGUGUGAACUUUCUGCUGGGGGCAGAGGGCCUGUCGCUGGGGGUGGCUAGGGCAGGCGGGUGGCCCCGUGGGAGAGCCUGGUGCAGCUGGUGGUGGGCGACGGCUCUGGAUUCCUGGAUUUGCAUUUUGAAGGCCAAUGAGCUCCCUGGGGAGGGUCCUCAAUCCUCCUGGUCAGCAAAGGUCAGCGCCUGCAGUCCCAGCCAGGCCCAGACGACAAAGUAUCAGGACACAGAAAACAAGACGUGGUCAAUACAGGGCUAGCUGCCAAGUCGCAGGAGGCAGGACAUGCAGUGGAAGAGCCCAGUCUCGGCUCCAUCCAGUUCACCUCCCUCUGGUCACUUGUCUUCGCUGGCUUCCCCCAAGUUCUCGUUUUCUUCCUCCCACUUUCUGCCUCGAAAUGGGUCUGUCCUGGGACCUCUUUAGCAGUCAGCACCCUUGGUUACAAGUACAGAACCAACACCUAAAGCUAUAGUUUAAGCCAAAAAGUGAAUUUAUUGACUCUUAACUGGGUGUUCAGGAUUGUCCAGCUUCAGGCAGGGUUAGAUCUAGGGGCCCAAAUGCUACUGUCAGGACACCGUCUGCUCUCCAUACCUUGGGUCUGUGUCUUAGUCCAUUUUAUGCUGAUAGAACAGCACGCCUAAGACAGGAGCUUAUGAAGCACAGAGAUGUAUUUCUUAUAUUCCAGAGGCCCGGAAGCCCAAGGUCAGGGGCAGGCAUCUGGUGGGGUCCUUCUUGCUGUUGUGCCAUGGUGGAAGGUGGAAGGGCAAGAGAGGACGUGCCCACACUGGGGAGGGGGCCAAACUCUCCCUUUAGAGGGACGCCUUCAGGAGAUUGCUCACCCUCUCCUGUGAGGGCAGCGGAGGCGAACGCCCAGGACCUGCCUUUUACGGCCCCCACUGCGCGACACGCUGCCCCAGGAUUCCGUUUCCCCCGUGGACUUUGCAGACAGUCCAGCAACCGCAUUCCGCUUCCCCUGGGGCUUUCUCCUUGUGGUGGUCACUACAGCCUGUUGCCCACAGGGCCAGCUCCUCCCUUCCGGGGCAAGCGUCUGCUCGGGCAGUCCGACCCCUGGGUUUGGGGGACAGCACUGUCACGGAGACACCCUGCAGCCCAGGGAGCCCCGUGAACGGCAGGUUUCCCGUCUGUGCGAUGGGCGCGGGGCCAGCAGGACCUUAAGAUGCCGCCAAGUUUGACCUUCUGUGGGCCAAGUGCUCUGCGCGGAGAUGGCCCAGCCGCUGCCAGGGGCUGGCUGGGGAAGUGGGUCCCCGCUGGGAGGGGCCAGGGAGCCGCUCUCCCCCCGCCCCGCCCCCCAAGCUAAUGUGCCAUCACUGGUUGACACCUGGCAGCUGGGAAACCUGAAUCUGGUCCCUCGAAGGGCGAGUUUGGCCCCCUCCCCAGUGUGGGCGCUCAAGCAAGGCUCCUCAUCUAAGGGACCAGUGAGCCACCGAGUCCCCACCCACCUGGUGGGGUCCAGGGGAGCAAGAGGUGGGGGGAGGGGAGCACUAGGCCCAAGUGCUUCCCUGGCGGCCUGUGAGAAGCCACGGGUGACUCUGGGGUCCUGUUGUCAUAGCCCUGAGAGUGGAGGUGCCAUACACACAGACCCUGGAGCUGUUCUUUCUGGGUUCAAGUCCCAGCUGCCUCGCUGUGUGACCUUGGGCAUCAGCCUGCCCAGGUACCCCCAGAGGUGCCCGACUAGUAUGUCUCAAAAAAAAGAGCACCAGGUGACAGGUUGUGGGGAAAGGGGUCGCCAGGGUGGUGGGGACGUUUCCCUGAGGUCCGUCCACUUCGUGGUCACCUCGUCUGCUCUGACCGUGGACGCUCUCCACCCUAUUAUUCACUGACUUUUGUGUAGUUCCAUUGACUCCCUUUUAAAUAAUUGGUUAAGGGGAAACUUUGUAGCAGAGCCCAGGAGAGGGGGCCAGCGACCCUCCCUAAAUUCAAAGCAACAUGACUAUUAAAAUAAAACUGUCCACUCAGGCGCCACCUGCGGGCCGCUCCCCGGGGCAGGGCUGCCUGGCAGCUGUGUGGGGGUCCAGGAGGUGGAGGAAGGGCUUCCUGGCCUUGUGGCCCCACAGUCUCAGGGACCGGGACGGGGGCCAGGCAGGUGACCAGCCCCAGGGACCAGUCCUCUCUGGGGUCCUUGGAAACAGAUGCAGCCGAAACUAGGAGGCUCCAGGGGGAAAAGGCAGAACUGGGGAAUUCCUGUGUAUUUUGAACUUUUGAGAACAGUAUUUAAAUGAUAUGCAAAUUCUGCACCAGCGAGCGCUGUUCUGGGGGCUGGUGGGAGCUCAGGUGUGAUACUUUCCUUCCAUUCUCCUCUGCUCCCUGGGGUCCUCAGCCCUUUUUAUUUAUUUAUUUAUUUAUUUAUUUGGAGACAGAGUCUCCCACUAGUUGCUUAGGCCUUGGGAAGGUGCCGAGGCUGGCCUUGAACUUGUCAUCCUCCGCUCAGCUGCUGGGAUGACAGGCAUUCGCCACUGGUUUCCCUCAACCGGUCACAUGGCAAGGGGCGCGGGGGAUGGAGCGGGGGAGCCCUCGCAGGCUGGGGUGCUAGGGCCUGGGGCCUGUGCAGCGCUGAGCUCCCAGAUCCUGCCAGGCCACUGGCCCUCCCAGUUCCCCCUCCCUGUCCCCUCUUCCUCUCCGCCUCACCUCCCUGCUCUCUGGUCACCGGCUGCAGCUCACCCUGGCCAGCUGCCCACCACCUGCAUCCUGGGCUUCCAGGCGCACCACGCCGUUUACANCUCGUUUUCUUCCUCCCACUUUCUGCCUCGAAAUGGGUCUGUCCUGGGACCUCUUUAGCAGUCAGCACCCUUGGUUACAAGUACAGAACCAACACCUAAAGCUAUAGUUUAAGCCAAAAAGUGAAUUUAUUGACUCUUAACUGGGUGUUCAGGAUUGUCCAGCUUCAGGCAGGGUUAGAUCUAGGGGCCCAAAUGCUACUGUCAGGACACCGUCUGCUCUCCAUACCUUGGGUCUGUGUCUUAGUCCAUUUUAUGCUGAUAGAACAGCACGCCUAAGACUGCCGCAGUCUGGCUGGGCACAAUCAGGAGCCACUUGUCAAAAGAAACUAACUUUAUUUUUAGAACCACACACGCCAAACAAAACAGCCUCUCAGGAAAAACCCUCAGAGCCUCAACUGCCACCACCGGCUUUCCACAAGCCUCUCUCUCCCACACAAGCUUCUCUCCACCUCCCACAAUCCUCCUGCUCUUGAGGCCGAUUGGCUGGGUCACGUGGGCGGAGCCAAAAAAGUCCCCCAAUGAGCAGCUCCGUGGUCUGAAAGGGCAGGGAAACAGCCCAAUGAGCAUCACCGCAGAGGAGCCAAUCAGCUAGAUGUUGCUGGGGCCGCUGUGAGCCAAUCAUCAGCCAGCAGCUGGAAGUUUGCUGGCAGCUGGAAGUUUGCUGGGGCCCCUUUGGCUGUGGCUCUCAACAUAAGACAGGAGCUUAUGAAGCACAGAGAUGUAUUUCUUAUAUUCCAGAGGCCCGGAAGCCCAAGGUCAAGGGCAGGCAUCUGGUGGGGUCCUUCUUGCUGUUGUGCCAUGGUGGAAGGUGGAAGGGCAAGAGAGGGGGCCAAACUCUCCCUUUAGAGGGACGCCUUCAGGAGAUUGCUCACCCUCUCCUGUGAGGGCAGCGGAGGCGAACGCCCAGGACCUGCCUUUUACGGCCCCCACUGCGCGACACGCUGCCCCAGGAUUCCGUUUCCCCCGUGGACUUUGCAGACAGUCCAGCAACCGCAUUCCGCUUCCCCUGGGGCUUUCUCCUUGUGGUGGUCACUACAGCCCGUUGCCCACGGGGCCAGCUCCUCCCUUCCGGGGCAAGCGUCCACUCGGGCAGUCCGAACCCUGGGUUUGGGGGACAGCACUGUCAUGGAGACACCCUGCAGCCAAGGGAGCCCCGUGAACGGCAGGUUUCCCGUCUGUGUGAUGGGCACGGGGCCAGCAGGACCUUAAGAUGCCGCCCAGUUUGACCUUCUGUGGGCCAAGUGCUCUGCGCGGAGAUGGCCCAGCCGCUGCCCGUGACCCAGGGGCUGGCUGGGGAAGUGGGUCCCCGCUGGGAGGGGCCAGGGAGCUGCUCUCCCCCCGCCCCGCCCCCCAAGCUAAUGUGCCGUCACUGGUUGACACCUGGCAGCUGGGAAACCUGAAUCUGGUCCCUCGAAGGGCGAGUUUGGCCCCCUCCCCAGUGUGGGCGCUCAAGCAAGGCUCCUCAUCUAAGGGACCAGUGAGCCACCGAGUCCCCACCCACCUGGUGGGGUCCAGGGGAGCAAGAGGUGGGGGGAGGGGAGCACUAGGCCCAAGUGCUUCCCUGGCGGCCUGUGAGAAGCCACGGGUGACUCUGGGGUCCUGUUGUCAUAGCCCUGAGAGUGGAGGUGCCAUACACACAGACCCUGGAGCUGUUCUUUCUGGGUUCAAGUCCCAGCUGCCUCGCUGUGUGACCUUGGGCAUCAGCCCGCCCAGGUACCCCCAGAUGUGCCCGACUAGUAUGUCUCAAAAAAAAGAGCACCAGGUGACAGGUUGUGGGGAAAGGGGUCGCCAGGGUGGUGGGGACGUUUCCCUGAGGUCCGUCCACUUCGUGGUCACCUCGUCUGCUCUGGCCGUGGACGCUCUCCACCCUAUUAUUCACUGACUUUUGUGUAGUUCCAUUGACUCCCUUUUAAAUAAUUGGUUAAGGGGAAACUUUGUAGCAGAGCCCAGGAGAGGGGACCAGCGACCCUCCCUAAAUUCAAAGCAACAUGACUAUUAAAAUAAAACUGUCCACUCAGGCGCCACCUGCGGGCCGCUCCCCCGGGCAGGGCUGCCUGGCAGCUGUGUGGGGGUCCAGGAGGUGGAGGAAGGGCUUCCUGGCCUUGUGGCCCCACAGUCUCAGGGACGGGGACGGGGGCCAGGCAGGUGACCAGCCCCAGGGACCAGUCCUCUCUGGGGUCCUUGAAAACAGAUGCAGCCGAAACUAGGAGGCUCCAGGGGGAAAAGGCAGAACUGGGGAAUUCCUGUGUAUUUUGAACUUUUGAGAACAGUAUUUAAAUGAUAUGCAAAUUCUGCACCAGCGAGCGCUGUUCUGGGGGCUGGUGGGAGCUCAGGUGUGAUACUUUCCUUCCAUUCUCCUCUGCUCCCUGGGGUCCUCAGCCCUUUUUAUUUAUUUAUUUAUUUUUUUAUUUGGAGACAGAGUCUCCCACUAGUUGCUUAGGCCUUGGGAAGGUGCCGAGACUGGCCUUGAACUUGUCAUCCUCCUCUCAGCUGCUGGGAUGACAGGCAUUCGCCACUGGUUUCCCUCAACCGGUCACAUGGCAAGGGGCGCGGGGGAUGGAGCGGGGGAGCCCUCGCAGGCUGGGGUGCUGGGGUGCUGGGGCCUGGGGCCUGUGCAGCGCUGAGCUCCCAGAUCCUGCCAGGCCACCAGCCCUCCCAGUUCCCCCUCCCUGUCCCCUCUUCCUCUCCGCCUCACCUCCCUGCUCUCUGGUCACCGGCUGCAGCUCACCCUGGCCAGCUGCCCACCACCUGCAUCCUGGGCUUCCAGGCGCACCACGCCGUUUACAUCUGCCUCGCACCAGAGCCCCUCCUCAGGAGGACAUCUCCUGUCCACUCCAUUUGACUCUUUGUCCCUGCGUCUCAUCCCCUGUGUCCAUGAGUGGCCCUGAGAUCCAGGCCAGGCGGACCAGACUUCCUUGAGAUCUGUGUUCCUUUUCCUCUGAAGUCACUCCCUGGGGAGAGGGGAACUGGAGCUGCCUGCGGCCACGGCCACCAGGCCCUGCCAUGGGGAGGAAGCCACGGGCAGAGGAGGGGAGAGCGAGAGCCUGGCGUGGGAUUAGAGUCUGUCCUGGAGGACCCUGGUGGCUCUCCUGGGAUCCUGGGUCCCGUCUCCCCAUCUUCCCUUUCCCCUGUAUGUGUCCCCAUUGCCAUCUGCCACGCAGCCCUUGCCAGGCCAUUUGGACUUUGAGCCUCAAAACUCUGAGUUAAAAAACCCUUUUUCUUGGUGAGUAGCCUGCCUCGGGUGUUUUGUUAUGGUAACAGAAAACAAAUGAAUGGGAUCUUUUAAAGGCAGGAUGAUCCUACCUUGUUUGGCCCACAGCUCUCUCAGGGCUCCGGAGCCCCUGGAGUGAACUCUGUUCUCCGAUGGCCCAGGGCAUGCUCAGCCCCUUCCUGGGUCUCUGGCCUCCUCUGACUUUUCUACCAUCCUCUGCCACGCUCCUUGCUGACCUUGAACUGGCCAAACUCUAACCAGCCUCGAGUACUUUCCUGUGCCUACCUAGUUCUCAACCCAAUCCUAGUUUGCGUUUUCCUUUUAGUUAUGGAAAACUUUCAAACAGGUUCAACAGGAAAGACAGUUCAACCCGCCCUCUGCCUGUCCACAGAUCCCACAGGAGUCAGUGCCGUCUGUCCACAGCCCAACCUGCUUCCCCAUGACCGUGAACAGAGCCAGACGCCUUCCCUCUGAUCUGCGGCUAUUCCAGCAUUAUCUCCCGAAGAUAAAAACUCCCCAAACGUAGCCACCUAAGAAAUUAGCUCUGUUCUCUUAACAUCACCCGGCAGGUCCUCAGAUUUCCCCCAUUGGACCACACUUAAAAAAAAAUAUAUAUAUAUAUAUAUUUCUAGUUGUACAUGUACCUUUAUUUUAUUUAUUUUCAUGUGGUGCCGAGGAUCGAACCCAGCGCCUCGCACGUGCCAGGUGAGCGCUCCACCACUGAGCCCAGCCCCAGCCCCACAUUGUGUUUUAAUGUCAACGUUUCAAUUUAUUUUUAUUGAGUAUUUACUUGGAACCCCACGGGCUCCUGCCUAUCUCCAGAGGCAUGUGGCUUCUGAACGUAGUUGAGUAUUGUUUUAUUUUACCCUUGAUUACGGCUUCUGCCCUAUUGGUUCUGUUUUCUUUGAAAACAAGCAUGGUAUCUAGGUAAGGUCUUAACCAUCUCUCUCCUCCUUCCCUCUUCUCAUGGCUGUUUUUCUGAUCUCCCCUCUCUGCAGGACGGUGGACCUUCUGGAGCAUCUGUAGUGACCGAUCUGUGGUUCGCCCCAUCCCUGACGCCCCGAGGCUCGACUCACAAGCCUUCGACUUUACGACGGUGCAAAAGGGGUACACAUUGGGUGGAAACUCUUUUGAAUUUUGAACGUUGAAUUUGCCCCUUCCCUGGGCGGGGGAUAGGUGUCAGAUCCCCUCUCUUGGCGUGGCCAGUGCCGAGAGCCAGCCAAGCAGGCCCCAGGUCACAGGCCAGCAGCACGGGCGCUGGGUGCAGGUGUUCAAUACUUUCCGUGAAUUGCAGCAUUUUAUUGUGAGAGGCUGAGUCCUGAAUGUGCCCAGCUUCGGGCUACUGAGUAUGGUGGGCCUGGCUGCGCUGCUCCGGGGUCAGGCCUGCAGAAACUGAAGAUGCUUUCACUUGAUGAUGAGGUUAUUAUGGGCUGCACCCCAGCGUAGUCGAGGAGCAGGAGCCUUCUUGCCCCCUUGGUUAUGCACCUUGCAGUCGCUGGCUUGGUUCUGGGGUAUCUUGAACAUUGCAGUUGGUUGGUUGGUUUCUUAAGUCUUAUUGAGUCUGUGGGUCGACAGUCCCCACCCCACUCUGUCCUUGCAGAGGACACAUGGGGAAGAUUUGAGGUUCCUGAAUCCUGAAAUUGGGGACUAGAUUCUGUCCAGCGAUUCCUGGUGGUCCCUGGCGUGGGGAGGGCACCAAAGGCGUGCUCUGCAGCUUCCUGCUGGCUGGAGCCUGCCGGAGGUGUCUUUGAACGUGUGCUCCUGUCCCUCGCUCCUGCAGAAGGUCGGACCAGAGGCUCUGUCAGGUGCAGGUCAGAAGGGACACGUGGAGGGCCGUGUGCGUGUGUGUACCCCGGUUAGCUGCCUGGACUGGAGCUCCACAUGUGCUGGCUCCUGGGGCUCGGGCUUGGAGACAUCUCACCCUGCCAGCCCAACUGACUCCUCUUAAGAUGCAAAUCCCCGAGAGCUGGCCCUGGCUGUGCCUGGUGCUCAUUCUUCUGUGGAGUGGGGAAGAUUUGAGGUCCCUGAAUCCUGAAAUUGGGGACUUAGACUCUCUCCAGCGAUUCCCUCAUCCCUAGUGAUCCCUGAGGACUGAAGCGGCCGCCUCAGACCUGGGUCCCCCUCCCUGGCCGACCGUGCCUGGUCACCCUGCCUGCCCGGGGCUCUGCAGAGCUGGGCGCACCAUCCCGCGUUCUGGGGUUCCUCCAGGAGCCCCUCCUCGUGUCCCCGAGCUGCCCUGUCCCGGGAAGCCUUCCCCUCACAUGCACAUAAGCCGUCCUGGAGCAUGGAGCCUGUGACAGCUGUAUUCCAUUUCCCCAGAAGCGCCGAGUUCCAAAGGCGCAGGGGCUGGGCUUGGCCUCUCCAGCACCACCCGCAUCCCAUCUACCCCCCGUCUGGCCUGGUGCCCCCAGCAGAGCGCGUGCUGCACACUGCCGCCCAGAGCUGCCCAGAGCUGCCCAGAGCUGCCCGAGGGCCACAGGGGACAAUGGACAAUGGGUGGUACACAGCCAGGACGGAAGGAACUUGCUCGCUGGAGCCCACCUGCACAGUGGCCUUGCAAGGUCACCUGCUGCUGGCAUCCCUUGCAAUCCAUGACCAUGGCAUUGGUGGGGAUGUCCCCUGCUGGCCCCUGGGGGUGGACCACUGGGCCUGCCUCUCCAGGAGCCCCUCGCGCAGCAGGGGCUGGUAAGAGGCAGGGGAGGGA
rnacentral:lncRNA from 1 species